UUUGAGAAUGUGAUGAUAUGGAUCAAGUGCAUAGUUCAACAGAAUUUUCCAUGUUGAGGAAUUCCAUCGAAUGUCUUUCGCUCCUAUCUGAUUCUUCCA
rnacentral:snoRNA from 1 species